GGACGAACGCUGGCGGCGUGCUUAACACAUGCAAGUCGAGCGGUAAGGCCCUUUCGGGGGUACGACGAGCGGCGAACGGGUGAGUAACACGUGGGUGACCUGCCCUCAGCUCUGGGAUAAGCCUGGGAAACCGGGUCUAAUACUGGAUAUGACUCCAUGACGCAUGUUGUGGGGUGGAAAGCCUUGUGCGGCUGAGGAUGGGCCCGCGGCCUAUCAGCUUGUUGGUGGGGUGANGGCCCUACCAAGGCGACGACGGGUAGCCGGCCUGAGAGGGCGACCGGCCACACUGGGACUGAGACACGGCCCAGACUCCUACGGGAGGCAGCAGUGGGGAAUCUUGCGCAAUGGGCGAAAGCCUGACGCAGCGACG
rnacentral:rRNA from 1 species